UACGGGGGGGGGCAAGCGUUGUUCGGAAUUACUGGGCGUAAAGGGCUCGUAGGUGGCCAACUAAGUCAUACGUGAAAUCCCUCGGCUUAACCGGGGAACUGCGUCUGAUACUGGAUGGCGUUGAGGUUGGGAGAGGGAUGCGGAAUUCCAGGUGUAGCGGUGAAAUGCGUAGAUAUCUGGAGGAACACCGGUGGCGAAGGCGGCAUCCUGGACCAAUUCUGACACUGAGGAGCGAAAGCCAGGGGAGCAAACGGG
rnacentral:rRNA from 1 species